GGCUUUGCAGAGUGGCAGUAUCAUAGCCAAUGAGGUUUAUCCAAGGCGCAAUUAUUACUAAUUGAAAACUUUUCCCAAUACCCCACCAUGAUGACUUGAAAUAUAGUCAGCAUUGGCAAUUUUUGACAGUCUCUACAGAGA
ensembl:snRNA U4 U4 spliceosomal RNA